GAAGGACACUGGCAGGAAAUUCAGAGAGAGAGAAAGAGAGAGAGAGAGGAAAGUCGCACUUCUGCUUCAUUAAGAAUAUGCUUUCUGCCAAGUAAAGAACUGCUGUUGAUCAGAAAUUAGAGAAAAGCUACAAUUAAGGUAAGGACUAUUAUAAUUGAAUACUUAAUUAAUACCAUGCUGUUAAUCUGCAUUAUUUGGCACAUAUCACAAAAACAGUGCUCCAAUAUUGACAAAG